UACGUAGGGUGCAAGCGUUUGUCCGGAAUUAUUGGGCGUAAAGAGCUCGUAGGCGGUUUGUCGCGUCUGCUGUGAAACCCGAGGCUCAACCUCGGGCCUGCAGUGGGUACGGGCAGACUAGAGUGGCGGUAGGGGAGAUUGGAAUUCCUGGUGUAGCGGUGGAAUGCGCAGAUAUCAGGAGGAACACCAAUGGCGAAGGCAGAUCUCUGGGCCGUAACUGACGCUGAGGAGCGAAAGCAUGGG
rnacentral:rRNA from 1 species